rnacentral:rRNA from 1 species
CAGUAGUCACGAGUUUGAUCAUGGCUACAGAACGAACGCUGGCGGCAUGCCUAACACAUGCAAGUCGAACGAGACCUUCGGGUCUAGUGGCGCACGGGUGCGUAACGCGUGGGAACCUGCCUUAGGUUCGGAAUAACUCAGAGAAAUUUGAGCUAAUACCGGAUAAUGUCUUCGGACCAAAGAUUUAUCGCCUUUAGAUGGGCCCGCGUUGGAUUAGCUAGUUGGUGGGGUAAAGGCCUACCAAGGCGACGAUCCAUAGCUGGUCUGAGAGGAUGAUCAGCCACACUGGGACUGAGACACGGCCCAGACUCCUACGGGAGGCAGCAGUGGGGAAUAUUGGACAAUGGGCGAAAGCCUGAUCCAGCAAUGCCGCGUGAGUGAUGAAGGCCUUAGGGUUGUAAAGCUCUUUUACCCGAGAUGAUAAUGACAGUAUCGGGAGAAUAAGCUCCGGCUAACUCCGUG